UCACCAGAAAAAUUAAAUAAAUAAAUAUUCGUAAGAGCCAAUAGUAUGAGCAGGGCUGCAAUUUGACGGUCAAGAGAGACGAAGUUGGUAGAGUGACACGUGGCAUUAACCAAUUAGCCUCAUCUUCUGUCUCUGUCUUUACCAAAGAUGCCCCUCAAACCUCCUCAAAGAUUCCUUUGUUCACUCACCAAAUCUCUCUCUCUCUCUCUCUCCACUCUCAUCCUCCCCCUUCCUCCAAAACCCUAAUUCCCUGCACCUCCUCUUAUGGCAGCCCUAGACGCCUCUCCCUGUCCAAAUUCACCUCCUCACGUCCCCAACUUCCCUGUUCUGCUUCCAAGGAGGGUUCCUCCGGAGAUAACACCCCCAGCACUUUUUGUAUCAUAGAAGGGCCAGGACAACAUCAGGAGCAGGCGCAACAAGAUUUUCCUUCUCAUGGAAGAGCUAAGGAGAUUGCGGGUGCAGCACCCCACAAAGAUGGCGAAAGAUAUCGAUGAGGCUUGCGAGGAAGAGUAAAAUGAGAUGCUGGACAUUCCAUAAACUAUCCCUUUUCUCAAUCAUGUGACACCAAAGACAUUGAAGCAGCUCUACCUCACAAGUUUAUAAAUGAUAUCUACUGUAAUUGUAUUUGGGGGCCUUAUUGCACACACGUUAGGUUGAUCCCAUUCUGGCAUCUUUCUCGGGUGGGGCAGUGGGUGUUAUUUCAGCAUUGAUGUUGAUUGUAUUGAGCAACAAGAGAAGAAAAGGUGCAAAUACUGCCGCGGAAUUGGGUACUUGGCCUCUGCUAGAUGUUCCGCAACUGGUGUGUGCUUGAACAUCAAUCCUAUAUCAGAAUCUAGUGCAUCGGACCGCCCUUUGCGAGUUCCCACAACUGAGAGGUGUCAAAAUUGCUCUGGUGCUGGAAAGAUAUGGAGGUGGUGGAAAAACUUAUCAAUAAGGAACCGUGGAAGGGCACCCACAUUGUUGUGAAGACCAAACAAGAUGCCACAACUGCAACUAUUAAACGAAAGGCCAAAGAGCUUAAUUUAAAAGUCAUUGAAAGUGACGAUUGGAAGGACGCAAAGUAAGUCUCUUUUUUUGUGAGUAUUUAUUAUUUUCAUUUAGCUUAGUUAUGAAUAUUAUUAGAAUUAAUUUUGUAUUUAAUAUUGACUGAAUAGCACUGAAAGUUCUCUGGAAUCUGGGGGCGGAGACACUAGUGGGGAGAACUCCGACUCCAACGCCGGAACAAGAAACUGUGACUAGUAAUUUAAUUAUUAGUGGCUGUUAUGUAGUUUGAA